rnacentral:rRNA from 1 species
UGAGGAACAUGACCUUCGGCGGGGGAUAGCCGGCCCAACGGCCGGGUAAUACCGCGUACGACCACAUGGGGACAUCCCUGAGUGGUGAAAGCAGCAAUGCGCCGAUGGAGUGCCUCGCGGCCUAUCAGCUAGUUGGUGGGGUAACGGCUCACCAAGGCGACGACGGGUAGCUGGUCUGAGAGGAUGGCCAGCCACAGUUGGGACUGAGACACGGCCCAGCUCCGAGG